rnacentral:rRNA from 1 species
AGAUUAAGCCAUGCAUGUCUCAGUACAUGCCGUAUUAAGGUGAAACCGCGAAUGGCUCAUUAAAUCAGUUAUGGUUCCUUAGAUCGUACACACAUUUACUUGGAUAACUGUGGUAAUUCUAGAGCUAAUACAUGCAAACUAGAGUUCCGACCAGAGAUGGAAGGAACGCUUUUAUUAGAUCAAAACCAAUCGGUGGCGGAAUUUUAUAAUUUUGUCCAUCGUUUACUUUGGUGACUCUGAAUAACUUUGUGCUGAUCGCAUGGUCUCGUACCGGCGACGAAUCUUUCAAAUGUCUGCCUUAUCAACUUACGAUGGUAGGUUCUGCGCCUACCAUGGUUGUAACGGGUAACGGGGAAUCAGGGUUCGAUUCCGGAGAGGGAGCCUGAGAAACGGCUACCACAUCCAAGGAAGGCAGCAGGCGCGCAAAUUACCCACUCCCGGCACGGGGAGGUAGUGACGAAAAAUAACGAUACGGGACUCAUCCGAGGCCCCGUAAUCGGAAUGAGUACACUUUAAAUCCUUUAAUGAGGAUCCAUUGGAGGGCAAGUCUGGUGCCAGCAGCCGCGGUAAUUCCAGCUCCAAUAGCGUAUAUUAAAGUUGUUGCGGUUAAAAAGCUCGUAGUUGAAUCUGUGUGCCACGCUGUCGGUGCACCGCUCGCGGUGUUUAACUGGCAUGAUUGUGGGACGUCCUACCGGUGGGCCUAACUUUAUUUCACAAUAAAGCGGCCCAACUAAUAUCCCAUCGCGGUGCUCUUAAACGAGUGUCGAGGUGGGCCGGUACGUUUACUUUGAACAAAUUAGAGUGCUUAAAGCAGGCUAUUUUCGCCUGAAUACUGUGUGCAUGGAAUAAUAGAAUAGGAUCUCGGUUCUAUUUUGUUGGUUUUCGGAACUCCGAGAUAAUGAUUAAUAGGGACAGAUGGGGGCAUUCGUAUUGCGACGUUAGAGGUGAAAUUCUUGGAUCGUCGCAAGACGGACAGAAGCGAAAGCAUUUGCCAAAAAUGUUUUCAUUAAUCAAGAACGAAAGUUAGAGGUUCGAAGGCGAUCAGAUACCGCCCUAGUUCUAACCAUAAACGAUGCCAGCUAGCGAUCCGCCGAAGUUCCUCCGAUGACUCGGCGGGCAGCUUCCGGGAAACCAAAGCUUUUGGGUUCCGGGGGAAGUAUGGUUGCAAAGCUGAAACUUAAAGGAAUUGACGGAAGGGCACCACCAGGAGUGGAGCCUGCGGCUUAAUUUGACUCAACACGGGAAACCUCACCAGGCCCGGACACCGGAAGGAUUGACAGAUUGAUAGCUCUUUCUUGAUUCGGUGGGUGGUGGUGCAUGGCCGUUCUUAGUUGGUGGAGC